AACGCACAUUGCGCCCCUUGGUAUUCCGAGGGGCAUGCCUGUCCGAGCGUCACGAGACUCUUCAAGCCCUAGGCUUGGUAUUAGGCCGUGCCGGUACCGGCAGGUCGCAACUCCAGUGGCGGCGCCGCGGGGUUCCGAGCGAAGUAACACCUCUCUGCUACGGAUCUCUACGGUCGACGACCCAGAAUCCAACUCUUCGGGUUGACCUCGGAUCAGGUAGGAAUACCCGCUGAACUUAA
rnacentral:misc_RNA from 1 species